GACGAACGCUGGCGGCGUGCUUAACACAUGCAAGUCGAGCGGUAAGGCCCUUUCGGGGGUACACGAGCGGCGAACGGGUGAGUAACACGUGGGUGACCUGCCCUUAGCUCUGGGAUAAGCCUGGGAAACUGGGUCUAAUACCGGAUAUGACUCCAUGACGCAUGUUGUGGGGUGGAAAGCCUUGUGCGGCUAGGGAUGGGCCCGCGGCCUAUCAGCUUGUUGGUGGGGUGAUGGCCACCAAGGCGACGACGGUAGCCGGCCUGAGAGGGCGACCGGUCACACUGGGACUGAGACACGGCCCAGACUCCUACGGGAGGCAGCAGUGGGGAAUCUUGCGCAAUGGGCGAAAGCCUGACGCAGCGACGCCGCGUGAGGGAUGACGGCCU
rnacentral:rRNA from 1 species